CCAAUAAUCCUUCUUCCUCUUUUUCCCAAUCAGGACAUGGUCUCGGGGAGAAUGAUUGGCAAUGCUAAAGAAUUUGGUGGAAUUUACUUUCUUGAAGACGACCAUUUAAGUCAACCAACAACUACUUUAUGUUUAAAUUCUGUUUCUGAUUUUGAUAAGGUUAUGAUUUGGCAUUAUAGGCUUGGACAUCCUAAUUUUUAUUAUUUAAGAUAUUUGUUACCUAAUCUAUUUAAAAAUAAAA